AAUUAAUCGAUUUGGAUACUUAAGAUUUUAAUCUGUUAUUUUAGAUAGUUUAAAAAGUUUUUUUUUUUUGUUUUUUUAGAAUUAAAAAAAAUCUUAAAAUACCUUUCAAUUUUAUUAAAAAAAUUUAUAAAAAUCUUUAAAUUACUUGAAUUUUGGGAAUUCUAUGCAUGAUUUUACCUAAUUUAUUCAUUUAUUAUGCAAUCCAAGCUCUUCUUUUUGUUCUCUAUCUAUGUGUGUGUUGUAUUCUCAUGGUAGGUUCUCCAACAUCCAGAGGAUUCAUCAUCUGUUCUUCAAUUAAUAUCAACUCCUUUUUUUAUUAUUAUUUUUUUUUUCUUUCUUUAUCGCCUUCUUCUCUUUUUUCUUUUCUUUUCCUUUAUGGGUCAUGGUGGAGACACAAUUCAAGCCCAAAAUGCUUCCAUUGUGCUUCUUUAGCCUUUCUCCACACAAAAUUAUA
rnacentral:misc_RNA from 1 species